rnacentral:lncRNA from 1 species
UAUUCGGUUUAUAACCGAAUUGAAAAUAUAUUUGGAUUAAAAUAAAACACCAGACAUUGCCAAUCAGUCAAUCACAGUAUACCAAAAAACCAGAAUUCAGAAACACAAACCAAAACAGUGAAACCCCUAAAGCAGGGGCACCAACCAAACAUUCUUACAGCCUAUCUCUAGGAAACAAAAACCAUCUUACUGCAAACUCCUGUGAGUCUGUGAGAAAUCCACAAAAGGAGUAGUAGCUGAUCUUGGCCAAGCCUUAAAAAGGCCAAAAUUAGCAGGCAAAACAUCAAAGAACUGAAAAUUUAUAUUUCACCUCCCCAAAGCAUCCGUCCACCGAAGAGUCACCGCCCACCGAAGAGCCACCGCCCACCGUCCACCGAAGGCGAAGAGGGUCUAAUCGUCUCUUCGAGUUUGACGGAUGAGUGAAUCGAGUGAUGACCGAUGAAGAGGGAGGCCAGAGUGAAUCGAGCGAUGAGGGUCGAGGGAGGCGGGAGUGGGCUACUUGAGAGAUCUGAGAUGAGGGUCGAGGGAGGCCGAGGGAACCGGAAUCUCAGAUCUGAUCCGAGAAGUCAAAGGUUUCAUGAUUUCAGCACCUCCGAAUGAUUUUAUCUAUGUCUUUGACCCUCAUAUGGAGGGAACCGGAAUCUCAGAUCUGAUCUGAGAUGAGAGUUGAGCGAUGAGGGUCGAGGGAGGCCGGAGUUGAGGAUAUUAGAUCUGAUCUAAGAGUUCGAGUCUUGGAGGACUCUGUGAGACUGUGACUCUGUAGUAAAUUAGUAAUGAAUAUUGAAUGGGCUGA